CGCCGUCCUCUCCAUCCCCGCCGUCGCCGAGACGUCCUCUCGAUCCCCGUCGCCUCACGGUCCUCUACAUCAUGAACUAAUAAAAUUGUAUGAUCUCCGCCACCGUCAUUCUGGCCGCAGCUGCAUUUGGUGUAAAUAGCGUGGAGACGAACCGGAGAUUCGUCUCGUGGUUCGUUGCGUUGGUUUGCUUGGUUGUUUUUACUGGCUUCCGCUUUAGAUGGGUUGAUAAAAAGAAAAGUGUGCAUUGGUUGAAGGCUGUUGCGCCACCAGGAUUACAUCCCCACAGUGUUCGACAAUUUCAAUGCUAAUGUUUCAGUGGAUGGGAACAUUAUAAACCUGGGAUUAUGGGACACUGCUGGGCAAGAGUAUUACAGCAAGUUGAGGCCACUGAGCUACAGGGGAGCUGAUAUAUGUGUGCAUGCACUACCUAAAUACAUGAUUAGAUGUGGAUUAUUUAUUUAUCGGUGCCUUCUUAUGAUACUCUGUUCAAGACUGAAAACACUGAUAGAAACUGAUAGCGCAAAAACUGUGUUUUAUUGAAAAUAUAUGGCUUGUUUCUUAUAUAGUAAUUUCAUCAAUAGUGUUUCAAUACUUGUAGAAUUCUUGAAUUGCUCCAGCUGCACAAUUUGUUACGCCGUGAAUUGUUGUGAAAAAAAAUUAUCGUUUUUUGAAUAUAUUAGCAAUCUAAUACAUCCAAUUGGUUGGUGGAUGUAGACAGUUACCCCAUUUGAGAUCUCAACAUAGAAAUUUACAGGAAUAAUACUAUUUUCUUAUAAUUCUUUUUUAAGGUGUCAACAAUUAUCUAUUGCUCCAGUUGUUUCUUGCAACAGCCAUCUUUGACAUAUGUGUCAACAAUUUUUUGGAUUUUUUUUGCUUUGUUAGUCAGAGUAUAUUGAUGCCUACAGGUACAAGCUUUAGUUUCGCUUCGGGCGCUAUAAUUGAUUUAGUUGAUGUUGAUUGUUUUGACAGCCUGGACCGAGGGAUGCACCAAUGCAAUGCUUCAUCAGGAGGAACAAAAAGAACUCAGCCUUCUUUCUUUAUCUCAGCUUAACGCAAGGUAAGUCAGCUUGGAUAAUUUUUGCUUCCAUCAUGCUUUUGGCCCAAUGUUAUUAUGAAUUGUGUGUGGCUUUGUAGACUGAGGGAAAAUUUAACCAUUUGCCACUCUUACGGGUGGUCUUAAUCUCAUGUGUCCCACAUGUCAUAGACACAUGAGAGUGGCAAAAAGUUAAGACCACUCGUAAAAGUGGCAAAUAGUUAAAUGCCCCACUGACGGAGUCAACAUGGUUUCCAGAUUGUUCUUUUGGUUUAAUUAACUAUGCCAAGUAGACAAAAUAAAAGCAUAUUAACUGACUUUCGGGUGGUUUCUGUUCUAUCACUGAUCAAUUGCACAAUUAAAUUAAAUCCUGUCUAUACUAUAUCAAAUUGGAGUAGGUAGUAGCACGGUUAUAAACACAAAAAAAGUUUGUCUGCUAAUGUUGUCAAGGUCUUUUCUAUGUAUGGCUUGUGGGUCAUGACAUGCGAUCUAAAUGUACUUAAUCUUGUUUUAAAACAAGGACUUUUUUUCCUUCUUUUUAUCCAUUACAAGUCACAACUUUCUUUUACAGUGACCCUCACACCUACUUUGCUGCCCAUCUACAUAAUUUAAGGGCUUAAUAAGGAAUAUUUGACUAAGUGACUUUGGUCUUUGGUAUCGUCUUAAACUCUUAUUGGCCAUCAUAAAUUUUGAAAGCAUUAACCGUUUAACAUACUAUAAUCGAUCAAGUGAGAGGCUAGGUAACCAUGAUGCUGCGCCACCAAUUACACGGUGAACUUUGUAUGAUCCAAGUAUCUGACAAAGUAUAACAAUCAAAACCUUGUCCAUUACUAAUAACUUUUUUAAUCAUUUAGGCGCAUUAUUAUUAUGUGCUGCACGUGAAUUCCCCUGUUUAUUGUUAACUACAUGAAUUGUGAUCGUAUACACAAGGGUGCAGUACAGCCUAAACCAAGGAAUAAACACAGUACAACCUAAACCAAGGAAUAUGCACAGCAACUAUUGAGUUGAUCUUUCCUAUGUCAGCUCUCAGAAAUAUAAGUUAAAUUAUUAGGUAAACAGAAGGUAACUAGCUAUCGCUUCAGGCUACAGUACUAUGGACUUCAUGUUUUUGAGGGGAUGUGUGUGUCAAACCUGAUGGGUGCUUAUUGAUAUUAGAAGGUUAGGCACAACUAUGUAUCUUUGAUAAGUUUAAAAUUCUAGAAUGACUCUAAGCACCCCAUGGACCACUUUAUUUUGUUGACUGAUAUUCUGAGUGUGAAGAUUGUGAACCUUAUCACAUGAUUGAGAACAUGUGGUUAUGAAAUUGUGAUGCGGUCCUCUUGUGUUGGCGGCUACAUGAAGGUUUAUUUCUUUAAUACAAUUAUUGCUUCUAAGUAUCA